AUUGGAUCACCAUGGGAAACCUAACUCAGCCUAGACACAGACAGGAUUGACAGACUGAGAGCUAUUUCUCAAUUCAGUGGGUGGUGGUAUCUGGGAAUUCUUGGAGUGAUUUGUCUAGUUAAUUCCAAUAACAAAUGAGACUGGCAUUCUAACUAGUUGUGCAACAACAUAGUGGUCAAUGUCCAACUUCUUCAAGGGACAAGUAGUAUUCAGCACAUGAGAUAGACAAUAUGUCUGUGCUGUCCUUUACUAUGACAG
rnacentral:ncRNA from 1 species